rnacentral:rRNA from 1 species
GUGAACGCUGGCGGCGUGCUUAACACAUGCAAGUCGUGCGGUUUCAGGGUAGCAAUACCUUGGAAUAGCGGCGAACGGGUGAGUAACACGUGGGUAAUCUCCCCUCGAGUGAGGAAUAAGCCCUCGAAAGGGGGUCUAAUACCGCAUAAAACUCCGGGACUUAUGUCUUCGGAGUCAAAGCCGUAAGGCGCUUGAGGAUGAGCCUGCGUCCUAUUAGCUAGUUGGUAGGGUAAUGGCCUACCAAGGUUAUGAUGGGUAGCCGGCCUGAGAGGGUGUACGGCCACACUGGGACUGAGACACGGCCCAGACUCCUACGGGAGGCAGCAGUGAGGAAUUUUGCGCAAUGGGGGAAACCCUGACGCAGCGACGCCGCGUGGAGGAUGACGGCCUUCGGGUUGUAAACUCCUGUCAGAAGUGAAGAAUGCCCGCAAGGGUUUGACGGUAACUUCAGAGGAAGCCCCGGCUAACUACGU